CCCUAGAUGGGGGGUACUGCCUGCCCAGUGAAUAAAUUUUAAACGGCCGCGYUAUCCUGACCGUGCGAAGGUAGCAUAAUCACUAGCCCUCUAAAUAAGGGCCGGUAUGAAUGGCAACACGAGGGCCUAACUGUCUCCUCCUUAACAAAAGAAACUUCUCUGGCCGUGCAAAAGCGGCUAUUAAAGCGCUAGACGAGAAGACCCUAUCGAGCUUCAGGGAUAGAGGAAUGACUAAAAACCAGGUCAGCUGAUAUCACACCCCUAGCUUUGCUCCCUCUCCUUCAUUCCCUUUGGUUGGGGCAACCACGGAGAAUAAACAUCCUCCGAACCAAACUAAUUUUCAAAGACAUUUCGUCUAAAGUACAACCCUUAUGGCACAUGACCCGGUCAUACCGAGCAAUAAACAAAGUUACCGUAGGGAUAACAGCGUAAUCCCUCCUAAGAGCCCGCAUUGCCGGAGGGGUUUGCGACCUCGAUGUUGGAUCGGGGAACCCCGAUGGUGCAGCCGCUAUCAACGGUUGGUCUGU
rnacentral:rRNA from 1 species